rnacentral:lncRNA from 10 species
UCCCAGCCACAACUACUCUUAAAUAGGCAGUAUUUUCUUAUGCAGGCAAACAUUCCUGUUUUAAUCAUCCUCCUAUCACUAAUUUAAAUAACAGGUCCUGGCCUGGCGAGAUGGCUCACGCCUGUAAUCCCAGCACUCUGGGAGGCUGAGGCGGGUGGAUCACCUGAGGUCAGGAGUUCGAGACCAGCCUGGCCAACAUCGUGAAAACCCGUCUCUACUAAAAAUACAAAAAUUAGCCGGGCGUGGUGGCACGGGCCUGUAAUUCCUGCUACUUGGGAGGCAGAGACAGGAGAAUUGCUUGAAUCCGGGAGGCAGAGGUUGCAGUGAGCCGAGAUCGCACCACUGCCACUCCAGCCUAGGGGACAGAACGAGACUCCGUCUCAAAAAAAAAAAAAGGUCUGGGUUACCCUAACAUAUCAAUUCAUCCUCAAUUUAUUCUCUCCGUAGAUUGUUUUUUAAUAAAAACAAAACAAAGCAUGAUUCCUGGCAUAUGGGAAUUUCAAAGGAUAGCAACUGUGUGGAAAAGGUCUAUUCCACUAAAACAGCAUAAAUGACGUAUAAACCCAAGAAGCUGAUGACUGCAUAUGAAACAACCAAACCAAGAAGCAAAAUAUGGUCUAUGGAGCACAGUACUAACCCGGGAAAACAAGCUUUACUCCUGGCUCGAUUAUACACCUGCUGUAUUUUAAUUUUUAACUCAAUGUUGAGCUUAUUUAAAUAAAUAAAACAUGCUACUUAACCACAAUUUCAAAAGGAAAACAAAGUCACAAAAGAAUGCAAUAAAUUACACAAUUGGACUAACAUAUUAGAUAAUUAAAGGUGAUUCUAUUCCCAAGUCUAACUAUCAAUCAACGCUACUGCAUUUAGUUACUCUAUGCAAUUUUAUUGAGGAAGAGGGGUGGCAGGAAUAUUUUGCAGGGUUCCAAAAGGAGACAUAGAAAGCGUGCCUACGAAGAGGACUGCAGUGAGGAGCUACACAUUGAGAUUACAUACAGUGGACUGGACAACUUUGGUUAGGACCAGGCUGUUUAAUUUCUUCAUAAACUUAACAUAGCUUCCUUCCUAAAAACAGGUUAAUCCAGACUUUCUUCUCUCCAAAACAACCCGAACUGAUACAUUAACUGCUGCAAUGAACUAUAUUAAGGCACUAGAAUAUUUACGGAAAAGCAAAAGACUCCCGCAAUUCAACGGGAUGCUUUUUAGUGAAGAAAGAAAACUUAAGGACCGAAUAAAUUUAAAUAUAUGCCUUGUUUAACUUCCUUUCCCACCUAUGAGGACUUGGUUUUUAACUUUCCUAGUUGAUCGAAACUCAAAGUAUGAAGACUACGUAUGCGAAUGUUUACUUAACGCUGAACUCGGGGCUACAGGAAGUCUCCUACUAAACAGUAGUUACAUUAGGCGUAGAUAUUUAUAAACCAUCUGCAGCAAGUGACCCAGGAUUCAAUUACAACAUCAACCCUCAUAUUUCAUCGCAUGGGCAAAUUACCAGUCGAGUCAAGAAUAAACUCAUUCUGCCCUACUGGCGCUCUAGAUCGAGUUGCACAAUCCUGGGGCAGAACCGCCUUCACCUAGCCCUAGAGCAUCAGGUACUAAGUUAGUGUGAGGACAUUUUAAAGCGGGAGGGAAACUCAAGGGACUUAGCCCAUACUCCCAAAUUCAGAAAUUUGUCACGUCACUUGAGAUCAGAAUGAAAUUUAAGUUUCAGUCCCUUUGAGAUCUCUGAGCGCACAAAGUCAGGCUGCUAUCACUCGGCUGGGGAGUCCGAACCCGGCUGGAUAAAAACUACUUGGUGCGGAACUCGCAUCUUUUCCGCCCACCGUGGGGGGGCCGCACCGGUCGGGUCCGGCCAGGAACCCGGGCGCGAGUUUGGGGGCGCAGCGGGGGCGGCGAGCGCGCGUCCCCCCGCCCGCUCAGGCAGCGUAGAGGUGCGAGCAGCUCAGCCAGCCUUGCAGAGGGAGCUCUCGGCAGCUCUGGGGUCCCUCUGCUCGCAGCCGCUGCAGCGCCGCCUGCGCCACUCGGCGGAGACGGAGACCAGCGGCGGCGACGCGCGGACUGGGAGCGACCGCCGAGCAGCCAAGCAGCUGGGAAGGCACGCAGGCCGGCAGGCUUGGAAUACAUGAGGAAGAAGAGUGGGAGACAGGAGGAAAGGUAAGGUUGGGAGAGGGCAAGAGGAAAGGAGGAGAGUAGAGGGAACACUCCAUCGAUUGCCAGCACAAUAAACUGUAUCAUGGACUACUUCAGCCUGGCCCCUGCUUUGCAGUGUGCGUGGAGCAGUUUCCUCUGGGCAGAGUCUCAGAGAUGAUGGCCAAGGCGACUGUGGCCUCAAUGGACUUAACUGAUAGGGCACUUCUCAGUGUGUCACAGGCCUUGGAGGCCCACUUCCAUCUGUCCCCUCAGAGGCUGGGCAGACGCUUUCCCUGCCCUGAUACCUUUGACUCAUGAUGGUAUCGUCAACUGCCCAUCACCUGAGGCAAGGGGCUCCCAACUGUCCUCAGUCCCAAACAGCAGGAACACCUGCCUCCCUGACCCACAUGACAGCAGGGUAGGGGGUGGGAGAAUGCUAUGGGCAGGUUUGCCCUGUGGGAGGCCCCUGUGAGGCAGAGGGGGUCAGGAGAGAUACAGAGGUGGGAGGACAAGGGUUCUCUCUGCCCCUCCACCAUCUCAGGAACCUGGGCAUGGGCCUGGGUGUAGGAGGCCAUCCAGCCUGCCUUCAAGCCACUGAUGGAGAGAGGCUGACUGGCUGUCCUGGGGUUGAUUCAUGCUGCUCUGAGCCAGAUAGGCAUCAUGUGCUUCACCUGGCUGUGCUCACAGUGCCCUCAUUCCAGCUCCUGUCCCCUUCCGAUCCUCACACCCACCCCUGGCUAGAGCUGAAUACUAGGCUCUGGCCUCAGGACUCUGCAGAGCACAGAGUCUAGGGUCUGUCCCUUCCCAGCAUUGGAGAGCAGGGAUUCUUAGUGACAACGCCAGUGGACCCCUUGGCUGGGAUGAUGACAUUUUUCCAUCCUCCAUUUCUUGCCCAAGCCCUGCUCUCUCCUGUGUACUGAGCUGUGAGCUCAUGCAGGCUCAGUCACCCCCAUCUGCACUUUCCCAGGACCUGGUCAACCAGUGUUCACUUCCUCUUCCCCCACCAUGACAGGCUAUGCUUUUGAUGCAGGUGGAUAGCCCUGCUCUACCAAUGGGCCUCUUGUGGGGGCCUCAGGACUGAGGGCUGCUAGGGGCGGUUCUGGGAUUGCCGGCCUCCUCCAGGGACCCCUGGGGCAGGCCCCAGCUGUGGCCAGCCUUGGGUGCUGGCCUGGUCUCCAUCAUUUGUUUGCCUCCUCUGCCCCAUGCUGCUCCAGCUCACCACCCCAAAUACUGAGCUGCACCAUCCCGUGCCACCCUUCGUUACCCAGAGAGCAAAGAGCCGCGCCAGUGUGCAGAGGGCUGCCUGCCUGCCCCUGCCCACCCUCGCCCCAGCGUCUGGAAUGAGCCACUUGCAUCCACACAGGUGCUUCCUGUGCUUCUUCCUGUUGCCGUUUUUUCUGCUCAGCUUGGCUUCCCCAGCAGGUGGUUAAAGCCCCAGCCAAACCUCUUCAUACCUAGCUCUAAAACACUGGGGGGCAGGGCUCCCUGGGGAUCUGGGUCACCCUCCAGAGGACUGUUGGCACUUCACUGGCUCUUCCUGAGGGCAGGCUCCCCAACGUGACACGUCCUGCACAGGCCAAGCUGCUGCCACAGGUACUGGGACAUCAGAGUGGCCUCAAUGAGUCAGGGAAGUGCUGCGUAUGCACCACCUCCUUGCCCCUGGAUACUGGAAGUGCUGAGGGAGAGGGGAAGGGUGGAGAGCCUGUUUCUCUAGCCACGGGUGUGGGCCUCCCUCAGCCCCUCCUUAGAACAGGCCUGCCAUCCUGAAGUCCCACCCCACACUCCAGUUCCUCACGCAGGACUCAGCCUUCUGGGGUUAACACAUUCACUGGCCAGGCAGCUCUGGGGCAAGGCGAGGCGGGGCAAAGGCAAGCCCUCUCCUGGGAUCUCUGCUUCCUGAAGCAGCACAGGUUGGCCGGCUGUUGGGGAUCACAGAGUUCAGGCACGUUUGUUAUUAUAGAGGGGGAGACAGCUGGAGAGGGAAGGGACUUGCUGUCUUGGGUCACAGGUUAGCCAUCCAGGUCUCCUGCCUCCCAGGUCCCAGCUCUUCCCCUCCGCAAGGAGCUCCUCUCCCCUGCCAUCCAGCUUCAAGGAGCUCCUUCAGCCCCCUCUGCAGAAAGCUGCCCAGGCUGCAGAAGACCCAAACCUGGCAUCUGCUGACGCGGAUCUGCUGCCCCCUGGUGGGCAGAAGCUCCAGCCACCCCGUGCCUCCUUUCCCUUCCUGUUUUUCCUUUCCCUUCCCCUUUGCUCCCAGGCCACAGCCUGGGAUUGGCACCCUUUGGUGUUUUCUGGGCCAACUCCAGUUUAGCUCCACCUUGGGCCGUAGUUCCCAGGCCCAGGGUAGGCCCCACCUGCAGGCUGAACCACCCUUUUCCCCUGCUCUCUUCUCCAAGCCCAGUUCCAGCCUCUGGGCUUUCUUCCACCUGAAUUUCCAGGGCAAGUGCACAUGGCACUGUCACAGCUGCAGUGUGAACACACCAGUGUCAGGCAGGGCCACAGCCAGAGGGUGUUGGAGCAGAGGGUCAGGAGUGUACCAGGCCAUGUAGGAAAGACAUUUUGCUUUUUUAUUUUCUG